ACGACGGUGGUCUAGUGGUAGAAUGCUCGCCUGCCACGCGAGCGGAAUGGGUUCGAUUCCCGGCCGACGCC
rfam:Haemonchus contortus, ISE/inbred ISE, WGS project CAVP01000000 data, contig: Hcontortus_6469